CUGCAGGGGAUGUGCUAAAAGAAGAAGUGGCAAAGUCUAUGAAGAAGCUCACAGAGCACGCAACUUUGCAAAACACAUUGGUGAACUGUAAACUUUCACACACACACACACAAAAAGUGAAGCUGUGUAGACACUACGGUAUUUAUUUGCUUUCAUGCAGCUGGUGCCAGGUGCUGGCUUGCACGGCUGGACACUGGCAUGGUUUGUUUAAUCCCAGAACAGCCUCGGCUCGGUCUCCAGCUGCAGCUCCGUCCUCUGAGCUUCCACGGCCAGCCAGAGACACUCAGCAGGCUCCUGGAGGGCACUUCAGAAGGAGUACCGCUAGGUCCUACAGGCCUCUCAAUGGGCAUUAUUUGAUCAAAAAUGACAAAGUUUUGAUCGCUAACCCUCUCUUCAUCUCUUUUGAAGGUCGAAGAUGCAAGUAAAACCUUUGGUAUUGACCACUAAACCAAUGUGCCUUCCAGUAUCACAUGAUUCAGGCUGAUUCCCAAUCAGAGGUGUAUUUUCAGUUCAUUUUUGCCACGGACUUCUGCCAUCAGCUUUCACAGAUGGAAAGCUGUGCUUGUUUUUAUGUCAAGAGAUAUGAAAACCAAAUAGUGCCAGAACAAAUACUUCACUUCUCCAAGGAAACUAACAUAUAAACCACUUCUGCAUAUCACAGUCUGCAAAGUGCAGAGCACACACCAAGCACAAACAAACCCUGGCCCUGCACACUACUUGGACAAAAGCCCUGCCGAAUUCACCCUGGAAUUACUGCCUCUGAAGGGAAUUUUGUAAGAGCAAGGCUGGCUCCAAUACAAGAAACAAGCACCUGCAGUCCUACCUGUAUACCAGUGUCAAUCCCACAGGCUCAGGUACUUGCUCUUCCAUUGGCUUUUGCAGGUGCCACCAUCCCAGCGGUCCAGGUUUCCUCAGUGCAAUGAGAAAGACAAGAUGAAAUAGCAGGGGCCAUGACAGAGCUUAGCUUUAAUGGUUCUAGAAGAGGGGACUGAUGUUCAGCAGACAUUCAGCUGACUACAAACCCCGAAGAGGUGAGGAAAAGAUGAUGUGCUGUGGGAAAGAUCACAUUGUGCCACGCAUGGAAGAGAUACAGCAACAAGAUACUAAUCGUAUAACGAGAAAAGGAACAAAAUGAAGACAAGGAGAAGGCUAAACCUAACAGUUUUUACAUUAUGGACUUUUCUAACUAAAGGAAGGAAAAGUCAGGGAAGUUAUGCAAACAAGAAUGAUGGAGCUGGGAAAGGAGUUUGGAGUAAUGUGCAGAGAACGGAAUAGGUAUCAAAAUAUAAAAUUGUAAGUACUUCUUUGUUCUACAUAUGAUACAACAGUAACAAUUCCUAUGUAAAUGAAAAAACCCAAGAGCAUUCCAAUAAAUACAUAGGCAUACUAUCUUAAAUCA